CAAUUUUUUCCAUGAGCAGCAGAAGUUUUUUCAUAGAGAUUUAUGUCUGAUGUUCCCCCCAAAUGAAUUUAACAUCCACAUACUCUUUAAGCAACCAGCAAAGCAAUCCAAUCUCCCUCUUUCUGUUCUCAGUGACACUCCACCUAAUCACCCUCAUGCUCAGACAGUCUCAGCUCCUUCCCGUAUCCAUUGCAAGCUUACUGUGAUAGUCUAAUUUUCCUCAUUUUUAAUACCACUGCCUCCUUCAUGUCCCCCUGCUCUGGCCAGCAGGACCUAAGUUGGGCAGGCUGCAGAUAGGCCAGGGAUCAGCCUGCUCCAGCUCUUCCCUCAAGUAUGCCUCUCUCUGGUCACUUCUCCUCAAGAAAUCUGUGGGCAGUUGAUAGAUUUUAGAUUUCUACCCUUGCAUCAAAUAUGGUUGAAAAUAGCCAAAAGGUUUGAAUGUUAGUUCAGCACAAAUUGUCAGAUAAAUAGAUUAAAGGUGAGAAUGAAGGAACUCCGGAAGCCUGGUAACCUCUGAAGGGGUCUGCAUUUCCAAACUUUCUAUUGCCCUUUUAUGACCAUGGGUCUUUAGUUACUGGCAACGCAGCACUAAUCAGAUUUUCAAAAGUAUUUUUAUACCUUUGCAUGGAAGACAUUGGCAGAUUAAAAAAGCCUAAAUACAUAACUCCCACUGAAAUAAUGUAUUUGCAAAGCUUUGUAGGCAGGGCUGAGCUUACAUUCAAAGAAUCCCAACAAUUGUGUUCCCAGCUCAUUACUGACAAAAAGUAUGAGCAGAAGCCAGUAAACAUCACAAACCUCUAAACUAAACAGGUAUUGUGAUGGAGGGAAAGGAGCCUGAAUCUGAUGCAGUCCAGCUGCCAACAUAAAUACUCUAAUAAUCAAUCAGAAUCUUGAGUAUUCCAGCAAUGAAUAUCAGAAUAUUUCAGGGUGACGAAUGAAGAAUACUUCACACACAAUGAGCUAGAGACAACUCUGUGCCAUUUCAGAAAUACAAUUGUUAGUGGAUGUAAUAUCACAAACCACUCAACUAUGUUCUAUUUUAAAGGAAGAACAUUAAACUGCAUGAAGUGGGUUCUGAAUUUAUCUCCAAGGGCAGCUGAAUGACAACAUCUGCUCAAGGUGCAACAACAA
rnacentral:lncRNA from 1 species